AUUGAACGCUGGCGGCACGCUUAACACAUGCAAGUCGAGCGGUAACAUGUGUGCCAGAAAUGGUACAUGAUGACGAGCGGCGGACGGGUGAGUAACGCGUAGGAACUUGCCCAGGAGAGGGGGAUAACCAGAGGAAACUUUGGCUAAUACCGCAUAAAUUCGAGAGAACAAAGCUGCCGUGCAGAUGAUGCGUGGUGGCGCUUCUGGAGAGGCCUGCGUCCGAUUAGCUAGUUGGUGAGGUAAAGGCUCACCAAGGCGAUGAUUGGUAACUGGUCUGAGAGGACGGCCAGGCACACUGGGACUGAGACACGGCCCAGACUCCUACGGGAGUCAGCAGUGGGGAAUAUUGGACAAUGGGGGCAACCCUGAUCCAGCGAUGCCGCGUGAGUGAAGAAGGCCUUCGGGUCGUAAAGCUCUUUAGGUUGGGAAGAAGGAUGCACUAGGAUAAUGAGUGCAUAUUGACGGUACCGACAGAAUAAGCACCGGCAAACUCUGUGCCAGCCGCCGCGGUAA
rnacentral:rRNA from 1 species